rnacentral:rRNA from 1 species
CCUACGGGGGGCUGCAGUGAGGAAUAUUGGUCAAUGGACGAGAGUCUGAACCAGCCAAGUAGCGUGAAGGAUGACUGCCCUAUGGGUUGUAAACUUCUUUUAUAUGGGAAUAAAACGUUCCACGUGUGGGAUUUUGUAUGUACCAUAUGAAUAAGGAUCGGCUAACUCCGUGCCAGCAGCCGCGGUAAUACGGAGGAUCCGAGCGUUAUCCGGAUUUAUUGGGUUUAAAGGGAGCGUAGGUGGAUUGUUAAGUCAGUUGUGAAAGUUUGCGGCUCAACCGUAAAAUUGCAGUUGAAACUGGCAGUCUUGAGUACAGUAGAGGUGGGCGGAAUUCGUGGUGUAGCGGUGAAAUGCUUAGAUAUCACGAAGAACUCCGAUUGCGAAGGCAGUUCACUGGACUGCAACUGACACUGAGGCUCGAAAGUGUGGGUAUCAAACAGGAGUAGAUACCCGUGUAGUC